rnacentral:rRNA from 1 species
AGUGAACGCUGGCGGUAGGCCUAACACAUGCAAGUCGAACGGCAGCACAGUAAGAGCUUGCUCUUACGGGUGGCGAGUGGCGGACGGGUGAGGAAUACAUCGGAAUCUACUUUUUCGUGGGGGAUAACGUAGGGAAACUUACGCUAAUACCGCAUACGACCUACGGGUGAAAGCAGGGGAUCUUCGGACCUUGCGCGAUUGAAUGAGCCGAUGUCGGAUUAGCUAGUUGGCGGGGUAAAGGCCCACCAAGGCGACGAUCCGUAGCUGGUCUGAGAGGAUGAUCAGCCACACUGGAACUGAGACACGGUCCAGACUCCUACGGGAGGCAGCAGUGGGGAAUAUUGGACAAUGGGCGCAAGCCUGAUCCAGCCAUACCGCGUGGGUGAAGAAGGCCUUCGGGUUGUAAAGCCCUUUUGUUGGGGAAGAAAAGCAGCAGGUUAAUACCCCGCUGUUCUGACGGUACCCAAAGAAUAAGCACCGGCUAAUUUCGUG